UACGAAGGGGGCUAGCGUUGCUCGGAAUCACUGGGCGUAAAGCGCACGUAGGCGGAUUGUUAAGUCAGGGGUGAAAUCCUGGAGCUCAACUCCAGAACUGCCUUUGAUACUGGCGAUCUCGAGUCCGGGAGAGGUGAGUGGAACUGCGAGUGUAGAGGUGAAAUUCGUAGAUAUUCGCAAGAACACCAGUGGCGAAGGCGGCUCACUGGCCCGGUACUGACGCUGAGGUGCGAAACCGUGGGGAGCAAACAGG
rnacentral:rRNA from 1 species